rnacentral:rRNA from 1 species
UACGUAGGGGGCAAGCGUUGUCCGGAAUCAUUGGGCGUAAAGAGCGUGUAGGCGGCUGGGUAGGUCCGUUGUGAAAACUCGAGGCUCAACCUCGAGACGCCGAUGGAAACCCUCCAGCUAGAGUCCGGAAGAGGAGAGUGGAAUUCCAGGUGUAGCGGUGAAAUGCGUAGAUAUCAAGCGGAACACCAGUGGCGAAGGCGAGUCCCUGGACAACACCUGACACUGAGGCACGAAAGCUAGGGGAGCAAACAGG